GACGAACGCUGGCGGUGUGCUUAACACAUGCAAGUGGUGCGACGAACCAGAGCUUGCUCUGGGGCAAAGCCGCGAACGGGUGAGUAACACGUGGGUAAUCUACCCCGAUGACCGGGACAACCCGAGGAAACUCGGGCUAAUACCGGAUGUGGUGCGGAGACAUAAGUCUCUUCACUAAAGGUAGCUUCGGCUUCCGCAUUGGGAGGGGCCCGCGGCCCAUUAGCUUGUUGGUGGGGUCAAGGCCUACCAAGGCAACGAUGGGUAGCUGGUCUGAGAGGACGAUCAGCCACACUGGGACUGAGACACGGCCCAGACUCCUACGGGAGGCAGCAGUGGGGAAUCUUGCGCAAUGCGCGAAAGCGUGACGCAGCAACACCGCGUGAGGGAAGAAGGCCUUAGGGUUGUAAACCUCUUUCAGAUGGGACGAAGGUGCUCCGGUGAAUAGCCGAGAGGAUUGACGGUACCGUCAGAAGAAGCUCCGGCUAACUACGUG
rnacentral:rRNA from 1 species